CUAUCUUCAACUAAUUUAUAGUUGGUGUUAGAAGCUAGGAUCAUAUCCAGCUUCUUAAAUUUAAUAGUUAUUGUAUCUGGCGUUCUUCUACAAAGUAAAUCUUGUCUGUUUAAGAACACAUUUAUAUUAGCAUUAAUUAUUAUUGUAUU
rnacentral:misc_RNA from 1 species